GAAGGUGUAGCUCAGUGGUAGAGCAUGUGCUUGGCAUGCACGAGGUCCUGGGUUCAAUUCCCAGUACCUACA
rnacentral:tRNA from 1 species